UACGGAGGGUGCGAGCGUUGUCCGGAAUCACUGGGCGUAAAGGGCGCGUAGGCGGCCCGGCAAGUCUGUGGUGAAAGCUCAGGGCUCAACUCUGAGUCGGCCACGGAUACUGCGGGGCUCGAGCACGGUAGAGGCAGGUGGAAUUCCGGGUGUAGCGGUGGAAUGCGUAGAGAUCGGGCGGAACACCAGUGGCGAAGGCGGCCUGCUGGGCCGGCCCUGACGCUGAGGCGCGAAAGCCAGGGGAGCGAACGGA
rnacentral:rRNA from 1 species